rnacentral:rRNA from 1 species
UACGGAAGGCAGCAGUGGGGAAUAUUGCGCAAUGGACGAAAGUCUGACGCAGCAACGCCGCGUGAGUGAUGAAGGUCUUCGGAUCGUAAAGCUCUGUCGGCAGGAACGAUGUUUUUGAGAGCUAAUAUCUCUCAGAAUUGACGGUACCUGCAAAGGAAGCACCGGCUAACUCUGUGCCAGCAGCCGCGGUAAUACAGAGGGUGCAAGCGUUGUUCGGAAUCAUUGGGCGUAAGGGCGCGUAGGCGGUUGAUUAAGUUGAAUGUGAAAGCCCGGGGCUCAACCUCGGAAGUGCAUUCAAAACUAGUCAACUAGAGUUCCGCAGAGGAUGGUAGAAUUCCCAGUGUAGAGGUGAAAUUCGUAGAUAUUGGGAGGAAUACCAGUGGGCGAAGGCGACCAUCUGGGACGGAUACUGACGCUGAGGCGCGAAAGCGUGGGUAGCAAACAAGGGAUUAGGAUACC